rnacentral:rRNA from 1 species
GAUGAACGCUGGCGGCGUGCCUAAUACAUGCAAGUCGAGCGAACAGAUGAGGAGCUUGCUCCUCUGACGUUAGCGGCGGACGGGUGAGUAACACGUGGAUAACCUACCUAUAAGACUGGGAUAACUUCGGGAAACCGGAGCUAAUACCGGAUAAUAUAUUGAACCGCAUGGUUCAAUAGUGAAAGACGGUUUUGCUGUCACUUAUAGAUGGAUCCGCGCCGCAUUAGCUAGUUGGUAAGGUAACGGCUUACCAAGGCGACGAUGCGUAGCCGACCUGAGAGGGUGAUCGGCCACACUGGAACUGAGACACGGUCCAGACUCCUACGGGAGGCAGCAGUAGGGAAUCUUCCGCAAUGGGCGAAAGCCUGACGGAGCAACGCCGCGUGAGUGAUGAAGGUCUUCGGAUCGUAAAACUCUGUUAUUAGGGAAGAACAAAUGUGUAAGUAACUAUGCACGUCUUGACGGUACCUAAUCAGAAAGUCACGGCUAACUACGUG